GGAUAGGUCAGUGGGUAAAGCAUGAGACUCUUAAUCUCAGAGUCAUUGGUUCAAGCCCCAUGUUGAACA
rnacentral:tRNA from 1 species